CAGUCGCCGCGGUAACACGUAGGGUGCAAGCGUUAAUCGGAAUUACUGGGCGUAAAGCGUGCGCAGGCGGUUAUAUAAGUCAGAUGUGAAAUCCCCGGGCUCAACCUGGGAACUGCAUUUGAGACUGUAUGGCUAGAGUGUGUCAGAGGGGGGUAGAAUUCCACGUGUAGCAGUGAAAUGCGUAGAUAUGUGGAGGAAUACCGAUGGCGAAGGCGGCCCCCUGGGAUAACACCGACGCUCAUGCACGAAAGCGUGGGGAGCAAACAGGAUUAGAUACCCCGGUAGUCCCUGUCUCUUAUAC
rnacentral:rRNA from 1 species